rnacentral:rRNA from 1 species
UACGUAGGGUGCGAGCGUUGUCCGGAAUUAUUGGGCGUAAAGGGCUCGUAGGCGGUUUGUCGCGUCGGGAGUGAAAACCUCGGGCUUAACUCGGGGGCUUGCUUUCGAUACGGGCAGACUAGAGGUAUGCAGGGGAGAACGGAAUUCCUGGUGUAGCGGUGAAAUGCGCAGAUAUCAGGAAGAACACCCGUGGCGAAAGCGGCUCUCUGGAACGGUACUGACGCUGAGACGCGAAAGCGUGGGGAGCGAACAGG